ensembl:lncRNA
AAUUGAUUGCAUUGCACAGAGUGCCCUCCACAUAUAAUCAAAAGGCAGGCGGCCAGCUGAGAUGGGAAGCUGUGCCUUUGAGAUGGAGUGCCUUCAUGAAGUAUGGAGAACUGAAGCGUUUCAGCAGAAGAUGCAUGCUGCUUCCACGAGGGGAUGCGUGAAUUGCAAAGAGUGAGGAAGGUGUUUACUUGGAAAGAAACCCACAGAGACAGAAGCAGCCAAGCUUCCCGUGUGAGAAAGCGGCGGGUGAGCAGCGCCAAGGUGCUAAUCAACCCAGGCAGACGGAAGACUGCAGUUUGGAGCCCACAGAGUUUGGCAGUGAAAGCCGAUGGCCAGAAAAUCCUCUCUACACUCCAGCGGUCACUUCGACUGCAGUCGGACACGGGGAAGUGGAGAGGUCGUGGACAAAGUACAAGGGGCAGUGCAGCACCCCACCACCGGAAUGAUUGCUCUCUCUGAGGGGAAGGUGGCUCUUCUUCUCUGUCAGCGUGUAAAUGCCUUCCACAUGUCGUUCAUCAGUGGACCACUCCCAGCACGGUUGCUUGGGCUGAAUACACGGCUACAAAGAAACUUCAGUCUUUU